AGAACUGCGCAGCGUAGGGAAGACGAAAGGGAAGCGUGCGCCUAGUCACGCGUCGCUCUUGCUCGCGUCUUCCACUGCGCGUCGGGGUUGUGGCAUUCAACGGUUUUAACGGCCGCCAGCCGUUCUGCGUCCCCGCUCCCUCGACGCCGCCUCCUACCCGCGCCUCUCGGCCGCGUCUGUGAAUCAUUACAUUCCUAAGAGAAGAGACUUGAUCCCUUUCCCCGGGGCGCCCCUCCUCCGUCCCCUGCGCCUCUGGCCGAGGACGGGGCCCGGGGGCUCCACUCGAAACCGAAGUGGGAGUCAGGUAACCCAAAGAACUUGUGGCGGGCAAGCUGGCUGAUGGAGCCAUUUAACAAACCUUCCCAACAGUUGACCGAGAUGGCAUGCACAGCAUUUUAUUUGGGGCGUUCUGUUACAGUGAGGCGCAGUCAGUCUGGAAUAGUCAAAUAAAGAAGAGUUGGAUCAAACUGCUUCCUGCCAUCCAUCCACUGCCUAUGUAUCAGUUUAACCACUGAUAUGAUCUUCAAUGGCUGCAAGUCUUCACUGGGGGAAGAAUAUCAAGAAACUAGCACUUUUGUGCAGGCCAGGACGAAGUGCAAAGUCAGAUUUGUUGCUGGCAGAUAUGCAUAAUAAAAGAAGAGAGACAUUGCCACUUACAGUCUUCAUCAGCAAGAAAGAAGGACUCAAGUGUUCUUUCUGGAAGUGGAGGAGGAGGGGAUGAAGAACGAUCCUGAUGUAUCUCUGAGAUGAAGAAAGAACAAAAAAGUGUUUUAAUUAAAAAUUCUGUCUUAGUUUAAAUCAUUUAAAUCCUAGAUGAACAUGAUUUAUUAUAGUUAGGGCAACAAUUUGCAACUCAUAGAUAAUAAAUAUUUGUUCAUAAGAUAUUAAA